ACACAGCUGAAUUCAAGCAGCAAGAACAGCUCCUAACUUCAAAUGCUUCCAGCGCCAGUGAGCUUCAGGAAUUCUGCUGUUCUGAGAGCAGAGUGUGAUGAAGCACACGGCCCCUCUGAGGCUGGCAGAACAAUCCCCUCAGGCAGCGAGCACACCUUCCUCUUUCUGAAUGCUGAGUGCCACCAGCCUACAAGCCACACCAGGAACAGGGGCCAGGAGCCAACCCCGGGGUGUUUCUCGGUACGUUACUGCAUUUUUCAGUCUAAUUUAUGUUUUCUUGGGA